rnacentral:rRNA from 1 species
GUCCACGCCGUAAACGAUGGGCACUAGGUGCCGGGGGAGCGACCCGUCCGUUGCCGCAGCUAACGCGAUAAGUGCCCCGCCUGGGGAGGUACGGCCGCAAGGCUGAAACUCAAAGGAAUUGACGGGGGCCCGGCACAAGCGGUGGAGCAUGUGGUUUAAUUCGAAGCAACGCGAAGAACCUUACCUAGGUUUGACAUGCUGGUGAAAGCCUGACGAAAGUCGGGCCCUUCUUCGGAACACCAGCACAGGUGCUGCAUGGCUGUCGU